rnacentral:rRNA from 1 species
CGGUCCAGACUCCUACGGGAGGCAGCAGUAGGGAAUCUUCCGCAAUGGGCGAAAGCCUGACGGAGCAACGCCGCGUGAGUGAAGAAGGUCUUCGGAUCGUAAAACUCUGUUAUUAGGGAAGAACAAAUGUGUAAGUAACUAUGCACGUCUUGACGGUACCUAAUCAGAAAGCCACGGCUAACUACGUGCCAGCAGCCGCGGUAA